AUUGAUAGAGCUCCUGGGAAGAGGAAGGGUCAUGAUGUACCUCUGUCGAUACCCUAGAAACCUUGGUAAUUGACAAGCCCCACAUCUAUCUUAAUGAUAGGCAUUUCGCCAUUUUUUCUUAGAAAAGAUGACAGUGGGGGGGGGACAGUAAGCUAUCGAGACAUUUGCUAUACUUCCCAACUGGUUUGUCCCUUGUGAUAGCUAACAGCCACCACCCUGUACUUGGAUAUAUAGCUCUGAGCCCUAAGUAGCACACUCUGGGGAUCGCCCCCUGCAUAUUUUGCUUUUAUUCACUUUAACUCACGUUCCCACAUCCCAAGGAGGAAUCCAGAGCACCACAAACAAAAGCUCUUUAUAAAAAGAUAUCAGAGGGGAGGCUUCAAAAUUGGGUGCUUCCGAUUCCAUUAAGGUCAAUGGGAGCUUAUCCAUCAAUUUCCACCGAGUCAGAAAGCUCCACUCCAUGGGUGGUUCUCUUGGAAAAGGUUACUAUAAAACAUGCACAGCAGGGCUUCAUAUUGAUUGUGUCUCACAGACAUAAUCCAUAGAACAGAUGCUCGUACCAAGUGUGAUUUCAGGUCAGAAUAUUUCCCCUACUGCAACAUGUGUAACAGAAAAUGAUGAAAUGAUGAAUUAAUGUUACAGCAGAGAGAAACAAAACGGAAGCACAAUCAUGAAUUCCUAAUCUCAGUAGGGAAAGUCUCUGUCUAUUACUAGACCACCUCAGGCUACAGGUGGGGAAUUCAAUGCUUGAAACAUCCCCCUGCCCCCACCUCCCAAAAACCCUCUGCACAUGCAAAUAUAGCACAGAAAGGAGACAGCUAGGAUAAACUCUUGCCCCAGAGAUGCUAAUUAUCCAUUUGUGGGGAGUUUCCCAAAUGGGAGCCUCAAACCUGGUUUAAGGUGCUGGUUUUGACCUGUGAAGCCCUACACGGCCUAGGACCCACAUACCUAUGGGACCGCUUCUCCUGGUUUGCCCUGCAUAGGACCUUAAGGUCCACAAAUGACAACAUUUUGGAGGUCCCAAGUCACAAGGUAGUUAGAUUGGUCUCAACUAGGGCCAGGGCCUUUUCAGUACUGGCCCCGACUUGGUGGAACGCUCUGUCACAAGAGACUAGGGCCCUGCAGGACUUGACAUCUUUCUGCAGGGCCUGCAAGACAGAGCUGUUCCGCCUGGCCUUUGGUUUGGACUUAGUCUGCCCCUUAUGUUUCUCUCCCCUUAUGGUUUUGAUCUAUGGGCUACUAUUAAAAUGAGGCUACAUUUUAAAUUGUAUUUUUAACCUGUAUUUUAAAUUGGUUCCCCCCUCCAUUAUGUUUUUAUUGUAAUUUUACUGGUGUUAGCUGCCCUGAGCCCAGCUCUGGCCGGGGAGGGCAGGGUAUAAAUAAAAUUUUAUUAUUAUUAUUAGGAGCCUCAAGUGGUACUCUGGGAAAAGUCUUGCCAUUUGGUUCUGAUGAAUGGAUCAACUUGCCUUGAAUCUAUCAUAGGAAAAGUUUGGACAAGAAGAGUUCUGCAGGUCACCAAUAACUUAUUGUAUGAUCUGUUUUAACCAUUUAACACUCCCAUUUCAAGUCAAGAUGGCACCAAUAUAGACCCUAUUGGAAUGUAGGCCAAAAGUGGAAUAGCAAAGCACUUUCUGAACUAGACUUGGAUCUGGUCAAUUCUAGUAGAUUCUGGAUCAAGGCAAGUCCUCUAACUAUCACAAUCAGAACAACAACAACAACAAUUCCUUCCAGUAGCACCUUAGAGACCAAUUAAGUUUGUUAUUGGUAUGAGCUUUCGUGUACACGCAAACUUCUUCAGAUAUCUGAAGAAGUGUGCAUGCACACAAAAGCUCAUACCAAUAACAAACUUAGUUGGUCUCUAAGGUGUUACAGGAAGGAUUUUUUAAUUAUUAUUUUGUUUUGACUACAGCAGACCAACACAGCUAUCUACCUGUAACCAUCACAAUCAGCAAAUUGUGGGGAUGAUCUCAGGCCACAGUAGGCCUAACUUCACCAAAAAGCCAAUUUUUGAUCCAUUUUGGAGUACAGACUGAGAUGACCAUUCCAGAUUCUUAGUAACCUGUAGUAUUUAUGUGGGACUGCAGUUGGAUUGUUUGAGGUCCCAUCCAAACAUUACAUCAUGGAAAUGAAUAAUUCCAGCUGUCUCUGCUUGUAAGACUGAUAUUUUUUGCUUGCUUAGUAUUCCACCACUUCUGCUUUACCAAACACAUGAUUUACAACAAGAAAUGCUUAAAACUUCAAAUAAAAUUUAAGAGGGACAAAAGCCAGAUAUUUGUGAACUCUGAAAUGCUGUAAAUUUUUUGGUGUGGUUAUGAAAUAAUACCUUGGUUUUCUUAAAAAAAAAAAAAAAAACCACCUACACUACUCAGAGAAUCCACAAGCCAUUCAUCUGAUCAGGUAUUCUAAAAUGCCUUUGUUCUAAUAAAAUGGUGUCUAUUUGAUUCUUAUUUAUGGUCAUGUACAGUCCCCAAAAUGGAGCUGGAGUACUUAGAUUCCCAUUAGGCAAACAGUGUGCUGAAGGAUAUUCAUUCAUCUUGGCUCUUUGAGAGCUCACUCCCACAAAAAGCUUUGUUGCUCGGAACUCGCAUAACGCAGGAUCUUUUAUUUGCCAAACAACCACUCAUUAUUAGCUGUGGAGUUACAAUUUUAUUGACAAGAGCAAAGAAAAAGAAAGAAGCAAACGUGACCAGUAAGUAAUAAAUCCAGGGUUCUACAGUACAGAGUAUUCUUUUGUAAUCCAACUAUAGAGAGCACACAAUUGGGGUGGGGACAGAGAAUAGGGAUGUUGGCAUGUCCAGCACAUGUCACUUGAGUCUACUUUUAAGUGUCUCAUAUUUUGCAACAUGUUGAUUCCCUUCACUCAUUCCCUCCCUUUCAAUUAAUAUUUUUUGUCUAUGAAUUUAUCACUUUAACUCUUGGAAAUAAAUAAAGCGUGUUCUCCUUCAUGGAGAGCACGUGUUGCGGUGGGGGCCACCAGAACACUCCAAAGUUGUGGGGCGGGCUAAUUGACCGUUGGCCACUGAUGCGAUUGGGCUUCCCUUGUCAUUGGGAAGAAGUUAAUGUUGCCAUUUGUUGAUUGAUAGCCAGAAAUGCUAAAACUCCUUGCACAAGGCUAGAGCUUCCUCUUUUCGCCCGUGCAUCAGAUUGCCCGUCCCCCCUCCUCCCUAGAAUUAGGGUUGUUCACUUGACCUUGCUAUGCCUGUCAUGGGGUCGUCUGCUCUUGGGGCAGGGGCCCGGUAGGAAUUUUGUCCAUCUGGCUGAUUGGCUGGGGCCAUUUGGUUUUUGCCUACUGCAUAGCAAAUCGUCACAACUUGUAAGGUUGCGGUUAGGCAUUGGCUUAUGGUUUGGUUGGUUGAGGGGCAUGGAUUGGCUGUGCCUGCCCCUCUAAUGCUGCUGCUGCAAGGGAUUCUGUUAAAGGAAUCGGGGGCUAACUAUUGCUUGUCCACCCUGUCCAGGGGGCUCGGGCCAGUGCAAGAGUUCCUGGCUGCAUUUGGGGUGGGCUGAGGGCAGGUUCCCUGCUCCCCCCCAAGUGUAUUCCCCUUUUCUGACUUUCGCAUGCGUGCGGAAUGUCAGUCUGUCCCCCACGGUGGGGACAGCUAGUCACAACCAAUGCCUAAGCAACCACUCACAUGUUUGUAUUUUAAUAAAGUUGUGGCCAAAAUUAUGCCAAAAAC